UCCACCUGUUGUGGCAUUUAUUUUCAUGUCAGUGGCAGCACGACAUAUGUAUCACAAUUAAUUGCAUAUUUACAAGUGAACGCGAAAGCCGCAAAAAGACGCGCGAGUGAAUUAACGAGAACAAAACAAUUACAUCAGAUAACAUAUCUUUUCACUUUAAAGGGCACUUCUGGGGAUAUUGGCGAAGUUAUGAAGCGAGUUUUUGGCGACGAAGUCCUCAGUUUGUUCAAUUGGGAUGGGAGGUGCGGGAAGAAAUCGCUUUCAGAAUUAAAAAUAGUUAGCGUGGCUCUAUUUGAAAUUUUCAAACUGCAUGGACGCAUCGACUUCGAAAAGGAAGUCCGAAAGAGCGUUGAGCAAAGCCACAACAGGCAAAAGCAAAAACGCUAUUUGCUGAACAAAAAAAACU